GAUGAAGGUUGGCGGCGUGCCUAAUACAUGCAAGUCGAGCGAAGCGGGGAGGGGGGAGUAACACGUGGAUAACCCCCUAUAAGACUGGGAUAACCUCGGGAAACCGGAGCAUAACCGGAACCUUAUAGAUGGAAUUGCCCGGCAUUAGGUAGUGGGUAAGGUAACGGCUUACCAAGGCAACGAUGCAUAGCCGACCUGAGAGGGUGAUCGGCCACACUGGAACUGAGACACGGUCCAGACUCCUACGGGAGGCAGCAGUAGGGAAUCUUCCACAAUGGGCGAAAGCCUGACGCAGCAACGCCGCGUGAAUGAUGAAGGUCUUCGGAUCGUAAAGCUCUGUUAUUAGGGAAGCGGUACCUAAUCAAAAAGCCACGGCUAACUACGUGCCAGCAGCCGCGGUAAUUC
rnacentral:rRNA from 1 species